rnacentral:rRNA from 1 species
UGGUGGAGUGAUUUGUCUGGUUAAUUCCGUUAACGAACGAGACCUCGACCUACUAAAUAGAUUUCUCUACUCUUUGGGUAGGCGAAGUCUUCUUAGAGGGACUAUCGGUUGUUAGCCGAUGGAAGCUCGAGGCAAUAACA